GCAAGUCGAACGGUAACAGAGGGAGCUUGCUCCCUGCUGACGAGUGGCGCACGGGUGCGUAACGCGUAUACAAUCUACCUUUUACAGGGGGAUAGCCUUUAGAAAUGAAGAUUAAUAUCCCAUGGUAAGUAACGAUGGCAUCAUCGUUACUUUAAAGCUUCGGCGGUAAAAGAUGAGUAUGCGUUCUAUUAGCUGGGUGGUGUGGUAACGGCACACCAAGGCGACGAUAGAGAGGGGCCCUGAGAGGGGGAGC
rnacentral:rRNA from 1 species